rnacentral:rRNA from 1 species
UAUUGCCUACGGGGGGCAGCAGUGGGGAAUAUUGGGCAAUGGGCGCAAGCCUGACCCAGCAACGCCGCGUGAAGGAAGAAGGCUUUCGGGUUGUAAACUUCUUUUCUCAGGGACGAAGCAAGUGACGGUACCUGACUAAGAAGCCCCGGCUAACUACGUGCCAGCAGCCGCGGUAAUACGUAGGGGGCAAGCGUUAUCCGGAUUUACUGGGUGUAAAGGGAGCGUAGACGGCAGCGCAAGUCUGAAGUGAAAUCCCAUGGCUUAACCAUGGAACUGCUUUGGAAACUGUGCAGCUGGAGUGCAGG